UUAUGGCUCAGAACGAACGCUGGCGGCGCGUUUAAGCAUGCAAGUCGAGCGGCAAGGGCCUUCGGGCCCCUAGAGCGGCGGACGGGUGAGUAACACGUGGACAAUCUGCCCCCCGGCCCGGGAUAGCCCAGGGAAACCUGGAUUAAUACCGGAUGGGACGGGACCCGCGAUGGCGGGACCCGGGAAAGGCGCUGCGGCGCCGCCGGGGGAUGAGUCUGCGUCCCAUUAGCUAGACGGCGGGGUAACGGCCCACCGUGGCGACGAUGGGUAGCCGGCCUGAGAGGGUGGACGGCCACAUUGGAACUGAGACACGGUCCAGACUCCUACGGGAGGCAGCAGCUAAGAAUCUUCCGCAAUGGGCGAAAGCCUGACGGAGCGACGCCGCGUGAACGAAGAAGGCCGUGAGGUUGUAAAGUUCUUUUCGGGAGGGGGAACAACCGUGGCAGGGAAUGGCCGCGGGAUGACGUGAAUCCCGGAAUAAGCCCCGGCUAACUACGUGCCAGCAGCUGC
rnacentral:rRNA from 1 species